AAGUCGUAACAAGGUUUCCGUAGGUGAACCUGCGGAAGGAUCAUUAUGAAUUUGAACUUGUGUGCUGGUUUGUUUCGAGACUUGUUUUUGAACGCCGCCGCAAUUCUUUUUCUGUGAACUGUUCUCAGACGUUUGUCAAUUCAUUUUGACAAAAGCCUGGGUCAUUUUUGUUUUCUUGUAUUAUUCCACUUUAUAUUUCGAGUAAUUCUUGCAAAAGAAUGAAAAAAAUACAAAAAAACCAAGACAACUUUCAGCAAUGGAUCUCUUGGCUCUU
rnacentral:misc_RNA from 1 species